GCGGCUACAAAUGCACAUGCUCACAUGGAUGGACUGGACAGAACUGUCAGCAGGACAUCGAUAAAUGUAGCAGAGAACCAUGCCAACAUGGACGCUGUGAGAACGAAGAUGGCGGCUACAAAUGUACCUGCUCACCUGGAUGGACUGGACAGAACUGUCAGCAAGACAUCGAUGAAUGUAUCAGGAAACCAUGCCAACAUGGACGCUGUGUGAACAAAGAUGGCGGCUACAAAUGCACAUGCUCACAUGGAUGGACUGGACAGAACUGUCAGCAGGACAUCGAUAAAUGUAGCAGAGAACCAUGCCAACAUGGACGCUGUGAGAACGAAGAUGGCGGCUACAAAUGUACCUGCUCACCUGGAUGGACUGGACAGAACUGUCAGCAAGACAUCGAUGAAUGUAUCAGGAAACCAUGCCAACAUGGACGCUGUGUGAACAAAGAUGGCGGCUACAAAUGCACAUGCUCACAUGGAUGGACUGGACAGAACUGUCAGCAGGACAUCGAUAAAUGUAGCAGAGAACCAUGCCAACAUGGACGCUGUGAGAACGAAGAUGGCGGCUACAAAUGUACCUGCUCACCUGGAUGGACU